AGCUAUUUAACUAAUUAAGUUAAUAUCUUGAAAAUAUUAUAUAGAAACUAAAUCCUUCUAAUAGCUU
rnacentral:tRNA from 1 species